UUCAAUUAUUUUAUAAUUUUUCUCAUUGCUAAGAAUUGUUGAAGGAAAUAAUUUUUUAAAAAUCCGAAUCCAAUAAAAAUUACUUAAUGUUUACACACUUUUAUAGUGUUCUGAAUAAAAUGUCAAGUAAGUUAAUCCCACGGCAAUUUACUCAUGUUUUAAUUAACGUAAUGCGAUAAUCUUAAAACUCAAAAUUUUCUAGAAAUAAAAACUGCUAGCUAACCGUAGAGUAAAUUUUCGUGAUAAGAUUGAUAUUCCAACAAGAACAGUUGAGAGUACAAUUGUAUUCUCAAAAUAUUCUUUACUGAAAACAGCUUGUACGAUUAAAAUGCCCUUUUCUGCAUACCUAUUUGAAAUCUCACAUUAAUAUUUUAUACAUUUUGAUUUCAUGACGAAACAUAUUUAGGUAGCCAUUUAUGAGAUAUGAUAAGUCUCUUAUCCUUUUCUUGUAUUGUAAAUUUGAAUUUGUCUGAUAGAAUAUCAUUUUCAUGAGUGUGACUUUUAUUACGUUGGUAACCAAUCGUUAAUAGUAUAUUCAUUUUUAUUGUAAUAUCUGAUAUUUUGCAAUGAACGUUUAUUGUAAUGGCUUUAUUGAAAAAAAAAUAAAGUUUGAAGUUGUGUGUGUU